UAAGGUUGUUAAACUAAUAGAAUAAAGGAGUCUUACCUAUCUUUUAUUGGGAAAGAGGUGAAAAAGCAGCGCUGCUGUGAAAGUUGCAGUCCUGACUGCCAUCAGAAAUAAAAUACCAAGUUCAAAAUCUGAGGUCCCAUAUCUCUCUGACUAUUUGAUGUGCGACACAGGAAGAAAGAUCAGAUGACUGGAGGAGCACAAGAAAAACAAACAAAUG
rnacentral:lncRNA from 1 species